AUUUCUUUAUCAUUUCCUUGAAGUAAUAAUCAUCAUAUUAAUCAUUUUACAGAUGCUGUAGUUCUUCUGUCUUAGCGUCUCGGUCUGAUUGUAUUUCCAUGAAGAAAUGAUCAUAAAUGUUCUUCCUUGAGCUGCGGCACCCCGCUGUAGUCCGUAAUGGACUGGUCUGAGGUCUCACUACAAACAAGCGUCUGCUGGAAGAGAGUAGGUGAGUUGUGUUUAGUCUCUUUGCUAAAGAAAUGAGUCAAAGUUAAAAAGAUGUUUGGUGUCUAGUACUAUGUCUGGGACCCUAUAUGUCCUGUUGAUGAAGUUAGGUGCUGUUCUGAGCAUUAUUUGUGGCUAUAGAGUGGCGUUUUGGUUGGGGGCGUGUCUCUCUGUAUUUCUAUCCUGCGGUCGUUACUAAAGUUGGUAUAACUAGAGAAGGAAGCGGUCGGCAACAUUCAUCUCUGGAGGGGGGGUCUAACUCGGUGUUACGGUGGGUUUGACUCUAAAUUAAUUUAACGCCGGAAUAUCCCUUUAA